CCAAUAGCGUAUAUUAAAGUUGUUGCAGUUAAAAAGCUCGUAGUCGAAUUUCGGGAUCAAUAUGUCGGUCGUGCCUCGGUACGUACUGGCGUUAUUGGUUUCUCCCUUCUGAAGAACCGCGAUGUCAUUAAUUUGGUGUCGUGGGGAAUCAGGACUGUUACCUUGAAAAAAUUAGAGUGUUUAAAGCAGGCUCGCGCUUGAAUACAUUAGCAUGGAAUAAUGAAAUAGGACGUUUGAUUCUAUUUUGUUGGUUUCUAGGAUCGACGUAAUGAUUAAUAGGGAUAGUUGGGGGCAUUAGUAUUCAAUUGUCAGAGGUGAAAUUCUUGGAUUUAUUGAAGACUAACUACUGCGAAAGCAUUUGCCAAGGAUGUUUUCAUUAAUCAAGAACGAAAGUUAGGGGAUCGAAGACGAUCAGAUACCGUCGUAGUCUUAACCAUAAACUAUGCCGACUAGGGAUCGGAUGAUGUUGAUUUUUUAAUGACUCAUUCGGCGCCUUACG
rnacentral:rRNA from 1 species